ACACCUCCCCGAGGGCUGUGCCUGCCCUCUGCUCGUUCCCUCACUGCUGUCCCGAGUUCUCCCUCAGUUAUGUUCCAUUUUCCCCUCCGUUUUGUCCCUCUUCGAUCUCUGCACGCUCCAAGGCUGGGAAAGGGGCCUCGCCACAUGCAACACGCCAUCACAGGGGCACAGCUUAGCUCCCCUCAUUCCCUCACUGCUGUCCCAAGGUUUCCCGCACUCAGAGCUGAUUUCCUCCUCAGUUCUGAUUUUCAUCAUCCUUUUUUCACCCCCAUACCCCCAAAGUAGCCUUUCCCCUCAGUGUUGUGGCUUGUGGGCAUGAGGGAAGAGACUUUCCUCUUGAGAGCCAUCAUCCUUCUUUGCUUCGAGGUGGCAAAAGGCAGCUUCACCAAGGGAGCAGGUCACCAUGGCAGUCUUGGCUACCGAGCUUCUGGUUCACAACCAAGGAAUCAGCCUCCUUAUCCCAGCCAUUGUGUGGUCAAUGCCAAUGUAAACACCACAGAAGGGCAUCCCAAAUCACAGCACAGCCUCUAGCCAGGAGGAGCAGCAUGUGCCAGCACGGAGGGGAAUGAAGAGUCCACAUGGACCCUCAGGGUUCAGAGAGGCAGCAGUGGUUAAACAGGCUGCGGCUGAUCUGAAAAUGUCAAAGGGGACUGAAGGUCAAAAUUUCCAUAAAUUAGUCCCUGGCUUGCUACCUAUCAAGUAAUAGGAUUCUCUGGCCAGUUAACACUGUGAAGUCAAGGCAAUCAGCCCAGCAGUUCCCCUGCAGCCCAGUUCCCUGCCCCUCUCCUGAACUGGCUCAAGACCAUGUGUGCAAGGGGAAGGAGUGUCUUCAGAGCUGCUUUCCUCCUCGGAGAAAAAAGGAGCAGGACAAAGAGACACUGGGCAGGGGUGAGUGCACCAUCCUUUUGUCCUAGAAAGCCCUGUUUUAACUUGGGGAACAGUCGAGAGGAGACUGGUUUUUCUGUUUCUUGUUUUGAGAAAACUACAAUGCAAUCUUUCCCAGACCUAAAUAAUGUAUGUUUCUAAAGGUAGAUUUCAGUACAACACGUGUUCAGCUCAGAAGUGGUUGUUAUGGUUUAGGAGUUGCUGAGUUCCAAACAGCUGAAGACACAAAGCACUGCUGAGCAUCCCCCAGCACUGGUAGGGAUGUUGACUUCAUUUAUGAGUGGCAAAACUGCUGCUGGUUCUUGCAAGGCAUGUGUAGACACACCUAAUGUUGGUAUUGUUAUUAUGGUGGUUGUUGUUGUUGUUCUGCAGCGUGUGUGUGAGCUGUGGUGGUAUUAUUGUUAUGGUUAUGAUUAGUAAUUUGUUUAAAGUUAGUAGUGUGUUGCACAGGGCAGGCAGGUGGUAAGAAAUGCUCCUGUCCUGAUGGUUGUGAUGGAAGUGACUCAGACUUUGGUCAGUAUCUGGAGUCACAGUAUCUUGCUCUUGGCCCGUGAAAAUCAGCCUAAAUGGAAACUUGGUGAAGGAUUCAGUGUGCAGACACAGAUGUAUAUAUGGUGUGGUAGAAUUAUGCCUGGUGAAAUGGGAUUUAAAUAUUGCACUGUGCCCUGUCAAAGGAGAAAAGGAGAAAAACAAUUUUUUUCAGCUGAGGCCAUGUUGCUUUACUGAAACCUUCCUUAGUUCAGCACUUCUUCAUUUGCUGAAAGGAAUCACCAGGGACUGGUGCAUUCCUGUGUCUUGGCCUGGGAAAAGGGAAACUGGGCCCUUGUGUGUAUGGUGGGACAAGGAGGAAGGAAAAGUCUGGACGGGAGUUUUCUAAAGCAGCUGAGUAGAGACAAACAGGUGCAAACACAGUGGUACAAGGGCAGCAGUGUGAAGGCACAGCCUGGGGGAGAGUGACCUCCACUACCAGCACUGUCUCCAAAGGAAAAAUCCUGCCUUGCUGUGAAUUUGAGUGUAAAACUGCAAAUAAGAAGUAGGGAGUCAAGUAGCAGAAAACUAGGGAAUAUUCCAGCAGGACUGUAUCUGUUAAGAUUUUCUCUCAGGCAGUGGUGCCAUCCUGACAACAAUAACAACAAUUAGAGGGCUUUUUGAGGCACACAUUUCUCAGAGCUUCUCCAACUUUUUUUUCAUUGAUCUGUUUGUUACAAAACACAGAAUCCCAGGCCCAGUCCUGAAACAAGUGGGAGGUCAUAAGAGAGGGACGGUGUGGACAGUGGGGGCAGGAACCCAGACAGCCCUCCUGAUGUGAGCAGCUCUGCUCCUGGAUAAAAGCUGGUAUCUUUUCUCAAAUCCACCGGGAUAUGAGCCUCUCCAUGCUUUUAUGAGUCCUCUGCCUUCUGUUUUCCUAGCUGUUCUCUUAGCUAGGUUUGAGUACUUUAGGAAUCUGCCGUCCCACAGACAUGGCAGAGAGUCAGCAUCACGUGCUAAGUUUCCUUCCACUGCUGCCAGGCUUGAAAGACAAAUACAGUGAGGGAAGAAAGAGACAGGAUACAAACACCUACAUCAGGACUUUUUCUGAAGCAGGCUGGGUGGCAAAACAGGAAGAAUGCUAGGAAUGUCCAUUCUGGUUCACUGUCGAACCCGAGCCUUGAGAACACCCACAGUGUAACUCCAGUCCCAGUAAGAAUGGCUCGGGCCACGGUGGGAUGUAACUGUGCUCUCUGGUUCUCCCCAAAGAAGAGCAGCCUUCCCUCUCUCCUCAUCAGGAGCCAUGACACUGUGAAGGCACCAAAUGUCCUGAUGACACUGUUGAAAGGCACCAAAGCAGCAGCAUCACUGAAGGGGGUAUGACCACAGAGCAGGACCCAGGUCUGUCAGACCCAGACCACCCUUGCCUGGCACACUGCAAUUGUUCACCUCAGGCCAAAAUGAUUCCAAGCAUGAGGGCAGAAAACCAAUGCUCACUGCACAGGUCCAGAUGUGAUACAAAGAGCAGGAAUCACAUCCAUAGUACUGGACCUGGAAACCACAUGCCAAUAAUGAUUAAUUUUGCAGAGUGGCAGAGUUCAAAUCAAAGGAACCUUUCUGCCUGAAAAGCAGAGGCUAUUUAUCAAGAGAUAAAAUCACCUCCUGAUAGAUCUACUCAUUUAUUUUUAGGCAACCCCUACAUCAGAAAUUUUUUCAACCUUGACUCCCUAGUUUGGCUGUCUGCUCCUGUGAAGGCCACAGCCCCCUCAAGUGAUGGCUGCACCUGCUCUGGCCCUGCUACCCUCACCAGACAAACAGCCCUCCUAGCAGUGACUUGGAACAAACUGUCUGGCAGGAAACGGGGAUGAAAAGCACAAGAAUCUCCUUUUCUGGGGUCAGGAGUGCCUGUUCUUGGCAAUAAAUCAAAGGAAGCAAAUUUCCUUUGAAUAGCCUGGACUUGAACAAAGCGGUCCAUCUCCCAGACAAGGCAGUAGACUUUGUGACUGCAGGAAAGAAGGAUGAUCUUUGAAGAGCAUGCACAGGGUUGUAUGCGAGUGUUGCCUUUUCAUAUUUUACUGCAGUGUGUAGAUUUGUGCCACAAUCCAGACAAAAAUCCCCAACUGAACGCUGUAUUACAGAAUGAGCAAAGGCUCUGGAGCACAGAGAAAUUGUCAAGACUUCUGCUGACACUACUGGCCUUUGAGUAGGGUGCCACAUGAUGAGUAUUCAGUUGCCUGUGGUGUCCAGUCAGAUAUUGUUACAUACCUGAAUCAAAACACACCUCCCUGCCUUACUGCCCCAGAGAAGGAGCUGCCUGUUAUCCUGUGAAAUUUCCUCUGCUUGUCUGUCAGGGCUGCUGUACUGUAAUCUUGGAGGAUAAUCAACAGCGAAACCAUUCAUAAAUCACAGCAAACAGAAAAGACGCCGAUAGGGUCUUAAAUUUCAAGCCUGUGAAGCCAUCAUUUCAACAAUGACAGUCAAAGGGGAGAUUAAGAAUUCUUUUACAUGGAAAAGUUUUUCUUGGAAGAGCAACCCUUUCUUUGGUUGCCUGUAACUGCAGUCAUGUGGAUUUGAUUUUUACAUGGCCCUUCUGCCCGCUUGCAGGGAAUGCUCUGCAGCCCCAACGGGCCUGUUCUCACACCAAACUGGCUUGUGGAGGGACAGCAGCGGGAUUGGAAUAAGGCAGCAAAAAUGAAGGACUUUGAUUUGCCCAGUGCUUACAGAGGCCAAAUGGGCUGCCUCUUUGGGAGGCAGUGGCAAGAUGUUCCAGACCCCUCUUGGCUCAAGUCCACCAUGCCUCUGGGUCCAACUGCAGAAUGGGACUAAGACUGGUGCCUUGUUUUAUGGUGCCAGUAAAGUAUUUGGAGAUUAACUGUACUUGCACCUCAUGGUGUUUAAAGGUGUGAGGGUAUUGUGAAGUCUGUUGCCAGAAAGGGAAUGUAGGGCUGGAUUAACACCGCACCUGGAGGGCAGGUGAUUUUUUUCUGAUCCAAGUGGAGUCUUGUCUUGCCCUGUUCAUUUGGACCAAGUGCUGUGCUAGGAAGAAAGGAGGGAGGCUGCAUAGUUCUUGCCUUCCCUGCUGUGGAUGUUGACCAGCAGUGAGAGCCUGAAGAAGAUGCAAGGGGAGCAGAGGAAGAAACACCAAGUGGUGGAAUACAGUCUGUAUGCAUCUGCUUCCUUCAGAUAGUCUUCCAUUUAGAGUGGAAACAAGGUGGCUCUCUGCUGGUUUGUUUACUCUCUCUGAUUUCUGGACAUACACCUUGCUCCCUCCUUCUGCUUUUCUAGCCUGCUUACUCCUGUGACAAGCAAGGGAAAAUAUCACCAUGGGAAGGACGCCUCUGUUCUAAGCAUGAUUAAAGAAGAAGAGCACACCAAAAGGUACUUUGAAGAAUUCAAAACUCUUUGAAAAAGCAUGUAUUUCGUAGCUUAAGAUUUUCUGGAAUUUUUUUUAAUGGAAGAAGCAUGGAUAACUGAGGAUAACUCUCCCCAGGAAAAUAAAACACGUCUUUUUUUCCCAGAUUUUUCUUGUAAGCAAUCAUUUAAAACACAGGACCAGAGCAGAGAUGUAAAGCCUCACUGAACAGCUUAGAGAUGAAAUUCUUGACUCAACAAAUAGGUGUCAUUAUAAGAACUCUUACAGUUCGUAUUCUUGGCUAGCCUGUUGUGAUAGUGUUGUGUCUCUUUGAUUUAUGACACAUUAUUCCCUCCUGUAAUGUCUAACAGUCAACGGCACAUUUCUUCUCCAGCUAUCCACCCCAUUUAGCACAUUUAUAAAGCUUGGAAGGACAACAGCAGCUCUCAAAUUGCCUGUUGGGAUGGGGCACGUUGAAAACGGCAUGACGCAGUGACACGUGAUGGACAAUGGGGGAGACGUUCUCUUAGCUCUAUUUCCUCCUGCUCUAAAUCAGCUAUGACAUGAAAGAAAUUAUUUGGCACCAUAUGGUGACCUGAGGAUUGGAAGGCCGUCUUCUUCCAAGAGCAGUAGCUGUCAACCUGUCACUUGUGGAAGAAAACCAAGAAAAGCAAUUCUAGUCAGCUUAAAUUCACUGUAGAGGAGCUGCGUUGCUGCUGAGUCCACAAAUGGGGGAGGGAAAGUCAGAACUCACUGUCCUAACUUUUCAAGUUAAAAGUCUUUGGUCCCCACGUCUAAGCUAAUAUCCCACUGAAAACCAACCUGAACAUCUCUCCAGGUGAAAGAGUGGGAGCUGAGACUGGAGCCUUGCUGAAGGAUAUCGGCCCAUAGAUGCUGUAACUCAGUAAAUUCAUUGCUGGAGGUCAUUUGCUGAAAAGUCUCCCACUUGUUUAUCCUCAUCAGCAGGCUCUUAGCAGAUCUCUCACAUACAUCCCUCCUCUGGGGCUGUCUAGGGGCGAGCCUGUAUCACUGGAAUCCACUCAGCCUUUUCUGAUUUCCAUAAUCAGAGGCAGAGAGAGCCUGACCUCUGUGUGGUGCUCAGAGGGACUGACCUGGGUACCUCUCGUCGGUUCUGCCCGUGCUGUAUCCAGCUGCUCAACAGAUGGGGCUGAGCCAAAUCCCCUGGGAUAGGAUCCAGGACUGGA